rnacentral:rRNA from 1 species
GCUGACCGGUACUAAUCAGCCGACAACUUCACAACACAACACCUUUUGCAUGCACGCGUCCACUGUGCGGUUCCCGAGAAACGGGCACCACCAACCCCCCACCACACACCCCUUGGGGUGCGUGAGCUGCGGGGGGCCAGCCCGACAACUCGAUACUGUUACGGCGGUCACAGCGAAGGGGAAACGCCCGGUCCCAUUCCGAACCCGGAAGCUAAGCCCUUCAGCGCCGAUGGUACUGCCCUGGAGACGGGGUGGGAGAGUAGGACGCCGCCGAAC